rnacentral:lncRNA from 1 species
AUGUUCUCAUUGUAUAUAUCUUUCUCAUCAGCCAUCCUGCCUGAAACUCAGGAAACACAGGGUCCCUGGCUAUGUGAUAUGAGUAGACUUGAAAAGUACCUUGUUCUUAUUUGGCAACCCAGAUGGAUGAAUAUUGGCCCUGAAGUUGCUUUUCUUAAAACUGGUCAGUGCCUGCAGACCUGCUUUUGUUUAUGCUAAAGCAAGCCAGCUCAGGUUUCUCCUCUGCCCUAGGGAACACUCUCUCCCUCCUGCUGGAUUCCAGGUACAAUCUACCAGUUUCAGGUCGCUCCUAGCUCUUCACUGGACUGCUUCAGUAGGCAGCCUUUCAGUGUGUGUAACUUUACUUAAAUAAGUUUCUUAUCCUUUCUCCAUUUCCAUCCCAGCUUCUAGUUUGCUGAGAUAUCAAGUAGCUUUCAAAGUAUUUAUAAAAAUUUUGUAUUAUCCUCUGUGUUCAAAGAUGAUACAUCCUCAUUUUGAGGAAAUUUGAACAAUUUAGAAUGGUUGCAAAGCAGAACGUGUAACCACGUCACUCUUCAAUAACAACUUUCCAGACAUCUCUGAGUGGUCGAUACCCACAGGUGCAGACAUACAAUUUCACACACAUAGAAUCAUACUAGGCACGUUGUAUUGCAAUUGGCUUUCUUAAGUUAAAAAAAUAUGUCCUUACAGUUUUCUGUGUCAGGUUAUAUAGAUCUACAUUAUUCAUUAUGUUGGCUCAUAAUAGUAUUUUAAAAAUAGUCUGACAUUUGCUCUUCUUAUUUUAUAGAAAAGCAGAAAGAGGCAAACAAAAAGUGUAUCAUAUUCUCCAAUCCCUGAUUGAACAAUUUAUAAAAUUAAAAGAAACACAUCUAUGAGAUUAGAAAAGUCAUGCUACAAAAGGUUACA